GAAACACGGACCAAGGAGUUCAACUGGACUGCGAGUCGUAGAGCAAGAAUAUUUUUACGAGAAACUCGCACGGCGUAGCGAAAGCGAAAUUUGCGCCAACACCCACUCUCAUACAGCGGGUUGUGCAGCGCAGGCUGAUUGUUGAAUAUAUCAUACUCUCUCUCGUAGAGUGUGUAUACUAGCAAAAUUAUAUUUGCUAUACCCCAAUCAAGCUAAAGAGCAUUUUAGUUGAGACCCGAAAGAUGGUGAACUUUGCCCGGACAUGGUGAAGCCAGGUGAAAACUUGGUGGAAGCUUGCGUUGUGCGGAACUGACGUGCAAAUCGUUGCCGCCUGAACUGGGUAAAGGGGCGAAAGACUCAUCGAACCAUCUAGUAGCUGGUUCCCUCCGAAGUUUCCCUUAGGAUAGCGAGAGUAUUUUUAAUUUUUAUUAGUAACACAAGGGUAAAGCAAUGAGACGCGGUAUCUGUGGGUCUUAUCUACAAUGACCUCGGCCUUCUCUCAAACUUUAAAUCUGUGCGCGACCUACACACACAUAAUUAAUUUUUUUAGGUGUGCAGAAAUUAAUAUAUAGUACUCGUAGUGGGCCACUUCUGGUAAGCAGAACUGGCGAUGAGGGAUUCAACCUGACGUUUUACAAGAUAAGCCGGGCUUAAUCAUAUCUGCUCCAACCUUCCGAUAAACGCGA
rnacentral:rRNA from 1 species